rnacentral:rRNA from 1 species
CAGUCGCCACGGUAAUACAGAGGGUGCGAGCGUUAAUCGUAUUUACUGGGCGUAAAGCGUGCGUAGGCGGCUUUUUAAGUCGGAUGUGAAAUCCCUGAGCUUAACUUAGGAAUUGCAUUCGAUACUGGGAAGCUAGAGUAUGGGAGAGGAUGGUAGAAUUCCAGGUGUAGCGGUGAAAUGCGUAGAGAUCUGGAGGAAUACCGAUGGCGAAGGCAGCCAUCUGGCCUAAUACUGACGCUGAGGUACGAAAGCAUGGGGAGCAAACAGGAUUAGAUACCCGUGUAGUCCCUGUCUCUUAUAA